UACAGAGGGUGCAAGCGUUGUUCGGAAUUAUUGGGCGUAAAGCGCGUGUAGGCGGCUUUGCAAGUCGGGUGUGAAAGCCCUCAGCUCAACUGAGGAAGUGCGCCCGAAACUGCAGAGCUUGAGUACCGGAGAGGAUGGCGGAAUUCCCCAAGUAGAGGUGAAAUUCGUAGAUAUGGGGAGGAACACCGGUGGCGAAAGCGGCCACCUGGGUCUGACCUGACGCUGAGGUGCGAAAGCGUGGGGAGCAAACCGG
rnacentral:rRNA from 1 species